AUUGAACGCUGGCGGCAGGCUUAACACAUGCAAGUCGAGCGAGCGGCGGACGGGUGAGUAAUGUCUGGGAAACUGCCUGAUGGAGGGGGAUAACUACUGGAAAAGGUAGCUAAUACCGCAUACCAUCAGAUGUGCCCAGAUGGGAUUAGCUAGUUGGUGGGGUAAUGGCUAACCUAGGCGACGAUCCCUAGCUGGUCUGAGAGGAUGACCAGCCACACUGGAACUGAGACACGGUCCAGACUCCUACGGGAGGCAGCAGUGGGGAAUAUUGCACAAUGGGCGCAAGCCUGAUGCAGCCAUGCCGCGUGUAUGAAGAAGGCCUUCGGGUUGUAAAGCACUUUCAGCGGGAAGGCGUUACCCGCAGAAGAAGCACCGGCUAACUCCGUGCCAGCAGCCGCGGUAAUAC
rnacentral:rRNA from 1 species